rnacentral:rRNA from 1 species
ACAUGCAAGUCGAACGGCAGCACGGACUUUGGUCUGGUGGCGAGUGGCGAACGGGUGAGUAAUAUAUCGGAACGUAUCCAAUAAUGGGGGAUAACUAAUCGAAAGGUUGGCUAAUACCGCAUACGCCCUACGGGGGAAAGCUAGGGAUCUUCGGACCUGGCGUUAAUGGAGCGGCCGAUAUCUGAUUAGCUAGUUGGUGAGGUAAAGGCUCACCAAGGCGACGAUCAGUAGCUGGUCUGAGAGGACGACCAGCCACACUGGAACUGAGACACGGUCCAGACUCCUACGGGAGGCAGCAGUGGGGAAUUUUGGACAAUGGGCGCAAGCCUGAUCCAGCCAUUCCGCGUGAGUGAAGAAGGCCUUCGGGUUGUAAAGCUCUUUCGCAAGGGAAGAAAACUCAUCCUCUAACAUAGGAUGAGGUUGACGGUACCUUGAUAAGAAGCACCGGCUAACUACGUGCCAGCAGCCGCGGUAAUACGUAGGGUGCGAGCGUUAAUCGGAAUUACUGGGCGUAAAGCGUGCGCAGGCUGUUCUGUAAGUCAGAUGUGAAAUCCCCGAGCUCAACUUGGGAACUGCGUUUGAAACUACAGGACUAGAAUAUGUCAGAGGGGGGUAGAAUUCCACGUGUAGCAGUGAAAUGCGUAGAGAUGUGGAGGAAUACCAAUGGCGAAGGCAGCCCCCUGGGAUAAUAUUGACGCUCAUGCACGAAAGCGUGGGGAGCAAACAGGAUUAGAUACCCUGGUAGUCCACGCCCUAAACGAUGUCUACUAGUUGUUGGUGGAGUAAAAUCCAUGAGUAACGCAGCUAACGCGUGAAGUAGACCGCCUGGGGAGUACGGUCGCAAGAUUAAAACUCAAAUGAAUUGACGGGGGCCCGCACAAGCGGUGGAUUAUGUGGAUUAAUUCGAUGCA